rnacentral:rRNA from 1 species
UUGGAGGGCAAGUCUGGUGCCAGCAGCCGCGGUAAUUCCAGCUCCAAUAGCGUAUAUUAAAGUUGUUGCAGUUAAAAAGCUCGUAGUUGAAUUUCGGGGUUAGUAGGUUGGUCAUGCCUCUGGUAUGUACUGGUCUCACUGAUUCCUCCUUCCUGAUGAGCCGUAAUGCCAUUAAUUUGGUGUUGCGGGGAAUUUGGACUGUUACUUUGAAAAAAUUAGAGUGUUUAAAGCAAGCUAACGCUUGAAUACAUUAGCAUGGAAUAAUGAAAUAGGACGUUCGAUCCUAUUUUGUUGGUUUCUAGGAUUGACGUAAUGAUUAAUAGGGAUAGUUGGGGGCAUUAGUAUUCAAUUGUCAGAGGUGAAAUUCUUGGAUUUAUUGAAGACUAACUACUGCGAAAGCAUUUGCCAAGGAUGUUUUCAUUAAUCAAGAACGAAAGUUAGGGGAUCGAAGACGAUCAGAUACCGUCGUAGUCUUAACCAUAAACUAUGCCGACUAGGGAUCGGAUGAUGUUAAUUUUUUAAUGACUCAUUCGGCGCCUUAGGGGAAAC